rnacentral:rRNA from 1 species
AUUGAACGCUGGCGGCAGGCCUAACACAUGCAAGUCGAACGGUAGCACAGAGAGCUUGCUCUCGGGUGACGAGUGGCGGACGGGUGAGUAAUGUCUGGGAAACUGCCCGAUGGAGGGGGAUAACAACUGGAAACGGUAGCUAAUACCGCAUAACGUCGCAAGACCAAAGUGGGGGACCUUCGGGCCUCACACCAUCGGAUGUGCCCAGAUGGGAUUAGCUAGUAGGUGGGGUAAUGGCUCACCUAGGCGACGAUCCCUAGCUGGUCUGAGAGGAUGACCGGCCACACUGGAACUGAGACACGGUCCAGACUCCUACGGGAGGCAGCAGUGGGGAAUAUUGCACAAUGGGCGCAAGCCUGAUGCAGCCAUGCCGCGUGUAUGAAGAAGGCCUUCGGGUUGUAAAGUACUUUCAGCGGGGAGGAAGGCGGUGGAGUUAAUAACUUCACCGAUUGACGUUACCCGCAGAAGAAGCACCGGCUAACUCCGUGCCAGCAGCCGCGGUAA